rnacentral:rRNA from 1 species
GAUGAACGCUGGCGGCGUGCCUAAUACAUGCAAGUCGAGCGAACAGACGAGGAGCUUGCUCCUCUGACGGUAGCGGCGGACGGGUGAGUAACACGUGGAUAACCUACCUAUAAGACUGGGAUAACUUCGGGAAACCGGAGCUAAUACCGGAUAACAUAUUGAACCGCAUGGUUCAAUAGUGAAAGACGGUUUUGCUGUCACUUAUAGAUGGAUCCGCGCCGCAUUAGCUAGUUGGUAAGGUAACGGCUUACCAAGGCAACGAUGCGUAGCCGACCUGAUAGGGUGAUCGGCCACACUGGAACUGAGACACGGUCCAGACUCCUACGGGAGGCAGCAGUAGGGAAUCUUCCGCAAUGGGCGAAAGCCUGACGGAGCAACGCCGCGUGAGUGAUGAAGGUCUUCGGAUCGUAAAACUCUGUUAUUAGGGAAGAACAAAUGUGUAAGUAACUAUGCACGUCUUGACGGUACCUAAUCAGAAAGCCACGGCUAACUACGUG